CCUACGGGCGGCAGCAGUGAGGAAUAUUGGUCAAUGGACGGAAGUCUGAACCAGCCAUGCCGCGUGCAGGAAGACGGCUCUAUGAGUUGUAAACUGCUUUUGUACCAGGGUAAACCUGAAUACGUGUAUUCAGCUGGAAGGACUGUACGAAUAAAGAAAGGCUAACUCAGUGCCAGCAGCCGCGGUACUACGGAGGAUCCAAGCGUUAUCCGGAUUGAUUGGGUUUAAAGGGUGCGUAGGCGGAUUGAUAAGUUAGAGGUGAAAUGUCCGAGCUUAACUCGGGAACUGCCUCUAAUACUGUUGAUCUAGAGAGUAGAUGCGGUAGGCGGAAUGCAUGGUGUAGCGGUGAAAUGCUUAGAGAUCAUACAGAAUACCGAUUGCGAAGGCAGCUUACCAAUCUAUAUCUGACGUUGAGGCACGAAAGCGUGGGGAGCAAACAGGAUUAGAUACCCGUGUAGUC
rnacentral:rRNA from 1 species